rnacentral:miRNA from 1 species
GUGAUGAACAGUGAUCGAAAUGGUCACUUUUUAAUCGAAAUGGUCACUUUUUAAAAAGUGACCAUUUCGAUCACUAUUAUUACUUU